AACGAACGCUGGCGGCAUGCCUAACACAUGCAAGUCGAACGAAGGCUUCGGCCUUAGUGGCGCACGGGUGAGUAACGCGUGGGAAACUGCCUAUUGGUGGGGAAUAACGACGGGAAACUGUCGCUAAUACCGCAUAAGCCCUUCGGGGGAAAGAUUUAUCGCCGAUAGAUGUGCCCGCGUCCGAUUAGCUGGUUGGUGAGGUAAUGGCUCACCAAGGCGACGAUCGGUAGCUGGUCUGAGAGGAUGAUCAGCCACACUGGGACUGAGACACGGCCGAGACUCCUACGGGAGGCAGCAGUGGGGAAUAUUGGACAAUGGGCGAAAGCCUGAUCCAGCAAUGCCGCGUGAGUGAUGAAGGCCUUAGGGUUGUAAAGCUCUUUCGGGUGGGACGAUGAUGACGGUACCACCAGAAGAAGCCCCGGCUAACUUCGUGCCAGCCGCCGCAGUAA
rnacentral:rRNA from 1 species